rnacentral:lncRNA from 1 species
AAUUAAAUUAAGUCACUUUUAAGUCAUUAAGUUAAAAAACAAACGACAGCUAAUAAACAAUAUUCUCCUUACAAUUCAUGUACUACAAAUGUUGUAAUUUAUUCUGUAAUAGUCUUCGAAGACUGAGAAUUGAAUGAAAAACUAUUUGUUUAGAAACAAUUUGCUGAGUUUUUCCAGAAACUAAAGCAGUGGAAAUCAACAACCAUGACGCAGUUCAAAUUCUUCCCGGCAAUCUGUCGAACAACUGCGGGGCAAAUUAUUUUGCACCUCUUUGUGACGUAAUUCUUUCCAAAUUUAGCACGAAAGCGCAACAUCAAACUUUCUUUUCUCAAUUUCGACCAACAAAUCUAUUAUAUAAUUGAUUUGAUCUACCAUAACCGUGUUGAUACCGAUGCAUAAUCAGAUGGCCAAUAUUUCUUUAACAAUGUUACCGUUGCAUGCUUAUGAUUCAUGCUAUCAACGGUACCCUAAGCUAUCAAUAUUCGCAGCAUACUGUUCUGGAGAGUGGAUUGCCGGACAACGCCGCGUGGUCCGUCGUUCUCAGUGGUGGUGGGUGCGCGCGAUGUGCUUUCGCAGAUGAGACUGAGAUUUCUGUUGUCAGGUAACCGGAUAAGCGAGUACCCCUGUGCAAUUACAUCCGUUGGAUUGUGGUACUUCUAAUCUAACGGUCAAAUCCAGACAAUUACAAAAUAAAGUCAUUGCUUACCACGUAGGCAAGGUAGCUGGCCCAUGGUUUUUACAGAUGUCAAUUUUAUUCUUCGUUUUAGUAUUUUUCAAAAGAUUCUUUUAAAAAGGACUCUUUUUUUGAAUCAAAAGGACAUUCAACACGUAACAAAUAAUAAUACCUUUUGAUAAAGUGUAAUACUGCAUUCACAAUGUAUUUUAUACAAACAAUGUUGUAUAAAAUCUGACAAGACAUAUUUUAAUGACUUAGAUUAAAACAUGGUGUUACCUACGUGACAAGUAAAUUUCCAUUUAAUUCUUGUGCUUAGGCUCUGAACAAAUAAAUUAUGUAUUCCUCAUGGUACAAACUAGAAAAAUAUAAAGGGUAGUUAACCUAAAAAAAGAAAAAUUAUCAAUAAAAAAAAUCCACACGACACAUCUAUUAUCUAAACUUUCUAAUAAUAUUAAGUGAGUGAAUGAAGGAUUUAUGUUUUUGAAGAAGCUUGAAAAUAGAACGUAACUUGAAUCAUCUUAAAACUCAUAUUUGUCUGUACAUCGUGAGUAUCUUCAGGGCCGUCUAAUUAUCAAAAUAGUUAUAUAAUGAACCCGAAGCUUCCAUCGGAUCUUUCCUGAUAUUAGGCAAUUUUUAUACCAAACAGAUAUGAAGAUUAUAAGUAAUUUAUUCCCCUUUUUCUUAGUCACAAAAAUACAUAAGAUUAUUC